rnacentral:lncRNA from 1 species
UUUUUUUCCUUUAAAAGGGUUUUAAUUUUAUUCUUCAAAAAAGUCCCAAUCUAAUUUUAUUUAUUGGGGCAUGUUUUGAGGAGCCUAAAAGUAUUUUUGUUUUAGUUAAUUUUUUUUUCCUUUUGGUUGUGGUAUUUUUUUCUUUUUCUUUUAAAACUGGCUAUUUAAUUUUGUGCUUCGGGAGAGAGAGCAGCCCAGGUGGCCACUUGGGGCUCUAGCCGGCCCAAGGCCCACCUUCCCCACUAGCCCUAGCGACACGGAGACUCCUCCCGAUCCCAUCUCCUCGUCGUCCUCCCCCAUCACCCUCCUCCUGAUCCC